rnacentral:rRNA from 1 species
ACAUGUCCUUUAGGAUUGAAUUUAAGGUCUAGCCUGCCCACUGAGUUGUUAAAUGGCCGCAGUAUUUUAACUGUGCAAAGGUAGCAUAAUCAUUAGUCUUUUAAUUGAAGGCUUGUAUGAAUGGUUGGACAAAAUAUAUAUUGUUUCAUUUAAAUUAAUAGAAUUUUAUUUUUUAGUUAAAAAGCUGAAAUUUAAUUAAAAGACGAGAAGACCCUAUAGAUCUUUAUAGUUGUUGAGUUUAAUUUAUGAAGAAUGGUUUAUUUUUAAUUUAUUCAACUAUUUUAUUGGGGUGAUAGUAAGAUUUAUUUAACUCUUGUAUAAUUUAAUACAUAAAUUAAUGAUUAGUUGAUCCAGUAUUAUUGAUUAGUAAAAUAAGUUACCUUAGGGAUAACAGCGUAAUUUUUUUAGAGAGUUCAUAUCGAUAAAAAAGAUUGCGACCUCGAUGUUGGAUUAAGAGAUAAGUUUGGGCGCAGCCGUUCAAAUUUAAAGUCUGUUCGACUUUUUGAUUCUUACAUGAUCUG